AUUGAACGCUGGCGGCAGGCCUAACACAUGCAAGUCGAGCGGAGCGGCGGACGGGUGAGUAAUGCCUAGGAAUCUGCCUGGUAGUGGGAGCUAACGUCCGGAAACGGGCGCUCAUACCGCAUACUAGCAGAUGAGCCUAGGUCGGAUUAGCGAGUUGGUGGGGUAAAGGCCUACCAAGGCGACGAUCAGUAACCGGUCUGAGAGGAUGAUCAGUCACACUGGAACUGAGACACGGUCCAGACUCCUACGGGAGGCAGCAGUGGGGAAUAUUGGACAAUGGGCGAAAGCCUGAUCCAGCCAUGCCGCGUGUGUGAAGAAGGUCUUCGGAGUGUAAAGCACUUUAAGUUGGGAGGCGGUACCCGCAGAAGAAGCACCGGCUAACUCCGUGCCAGCCGCCGCGGUAAUUC
rnacentral:rRNA from 1 species